CACAGACGCUGGAAGGCUCACACUUGUGAGAGCAAGCCCUGAAGAUUUAUAUUCUGAAAGCAUUAUUUAGACAGCAUUUGCAGUGGAAGCCAGUGCAGGGGGAAGAAGUCAUCCAUGGAAGGUGAUGAUGGGACUUGACAAGAGCAUAAGGCAUGCAACAGGCUUAGUCGGAGAAGAAAGGAGGCUGAAGAAGGAAGGGUAGAGAGAAGCAGAAACAAAUGAAUCUUGCCUUCCUGGCUCUGAAGAGAGGGACAACAGCCGUGACUUGCACACCCUAGCUGCAAAAGACACUGGAUUCUUACAGAGACCCCAGGAAUGUUCAGCAAUCCUGAGAACAGACAUUAGAUUUCUUCACUGGCUUAUUCUGAGUGGCUUUGCAGAUUCCGAAGACUGUGAGAACACUUAGUCUAUAAA
rnacentral:lncRNA from 1 species